UACAGUUUAAUUUGUACUGAAAAUAUACAUGUUCAAUACAUAAGGCUGAUAUUUGAAAAUGUUUGGUUUUCUUCAGAAACAGCCAAUGAUCAAGAUUUGGUCCUCAGUGGGCUAGGCAUUGUACUUUUGUCACUGAUUUAAGAGGAAACAAGGUGAAGUCAUCAGUCUAGGUAAUCUUGGGGAGGAUAAGAGAAAACUUUCUCAAGAUUGUUUUUGUAAGAUUUGAACAAAAAUACUGAUAAAUAGGAGAGAGUUUGUGUAUUUGUACAUUUUUCCAGAAGGAGGUGGAUUGCAACUUACAAUUACCCAUCACUGACAUGUAUUUCAAUUACCAAAAGUUAGUUAUACGUGAAGAGACAAUGAAGAAGGGACAAUAAAAACUAAUUGUUCUCUUUUCUAAGGAAACAUUAAUGGCAACAUUAUUGGCUUUGCAUUUACUUUUAGUUGUCUUGAAUUCCUGGUGAUAAAUAAUUUAAUUCUAUAAAGCUAUCAUUAGAGUUACUGACACCAUAAAUCACUGCUUUUAUAAUGGACAUCUAAGCACGCAAUUUUUACUCUCUCAGUAUUUCGAAUUAACUGAAUAAAAGUUAAAAGCAUUUCCCCUGGAGAUUUACAAUAGAAUUGGGUUUGGCCUUUGUAAACAAAAACAGAUACUGUCAUUAAAAAAUGUACUUCCAGCUGCUUUAUAGAAAUUACCACACACAUGAAUCUCAGAGGAUUUCUCUUAAAAUGUGAACUUGUGGCCUUAAUAGCAGAGAAAGAAUGAGACAAACAGAAUUAGGGCCAUGGUGCUUUUCUUUUCCCAGGCAUCAGAAAGAAAACCUUUGGCAGGAGAGCAAUGGAAAGAGAUAUUAGUGAGUAGCAAAGCAAAGAUGUAUGCUGCUUUAUUACCUGUACAAGAGCUUCUCAACAAUCCAAAGAAUUGAAGAAGGGAACAGUAUUAAGAGACCUCACCAAGAGACAGAUUUUGAAGUGGACUAUGGAAGACAUUUCCAACUACACAAUCGCACUCAUAUGACUUCUCCCAGCUUAGCUGGUACAAAACCAAAAUUAUUCAGACAAGCAUUUUUUUUUACUUAAUUACAUUACCUGAACUUCAUAGGGAAGAAUCUUGACACAAUAGAGAUCUCUGCUUCAAGGCUUAGAGGUGCAAUUUUCAUUCCCCAUCUGGUAACAAAAACAGAAAGGUUACUUUUUUUGCUUUUAGGGGAAAAAAGUCAUUUCAAGCACUUAAUAAAAACCAGAUUUAGACAUGCAGAUCUGAAUUACUAAUACCAUUAAUAUUUCAAGAAGUAAAUCCCCAAUGGGAAAGUUAUCUUCAAAAACAGUCGGAGAAAAAAAGAAAGCGAAAGAAGCCUGACUCCUAGAACCAAUCUGAGAAGUUGGACAUGGUGAUGGUAGCCAUUCUUUCUACGUUAGCAACACAUCAACGUAUGUGCUCAGUUGCCCUUCAGAUGUAUAAGUACAAUAUGCAAGCAUAACAGAGAUCUUCAGAUUCACCUCUCAAAUACUGAUUCACCUAGUAGAUGACUGUGCUGUGCCGAUGGACAUUUAGAAAAUCACAUAGCUGAGUAUCCUUGGGACCCAGAUUCACACAUCAGCAGAAUACUUCAGCAUUAUUCUCAAAAUCAGACUAAAGUCCUGGUUCCUCACUGAGGAAAAAGGAAAGGAUUCUGCAUGCAGCUUGUUAUGACUCUCACAUGGAUUGUAAUGUUUAAAUUACAAAAUAUUUGUAUAAAGAAAAUGUUCAACAGAAGGAGUUCCACCAAACAGCAUUCAUAGACCAAAUUUCGGUCACCCAUCUGAAAAACAGGAAAGAAAUCUCUAAACACAUUAUCUUAAUACAGAAAUCUAAAAUAGAUUUUGAAGUCAAGCCUCCAGACUUCAAGGAGAAACCACUCCUAAGUAUGACUAAGUUAUUACACAAUAUUGUAUUAUUAUAAUAUUAUUAUAAUAUAUAUAUGUAUAUAUAUGUAUAUAUAUGUGUAUAUAUAUAUACAUUGUAUUAUUAUGAUUGGGUAAUCCCAAGCACAGAUACAGGUUGGGCAGAGAAUGGCUUAAGAAAAGCCCUGAGGAGAAGGAUCU